UGAAAGCAACAAAUCCCCGUCAGGAUUCGCUGCAGUCAAUGGAAAAAAUAAUUAAAAAGAAAAGAAAUAUCUGCUUUGUUGUGAUCAAAUAUUAUGUCAAAGUAUAACCAGUUAUCCAAACAGUUGGAUCAGUUAAAUGUGUUAAAUAGUGAGCUUACAAACCUGAAAAAAACUGCGAGAGUUUAUACACAACAGCCUAAUAGUCAUAUCUUUUUUCUUGAUGAUUUAAACAAUGUGAAAUGUAAAACUAAAGAAAACAUUAAAGAAACUGAAGAAAAAUUGAAGAAAUGUCAAAAAUAAGAUCUGAAGUGAAGAGAAAGAAUCAUAUUUUUAUUUUAACACAAUCAAACUACUGAAAUCGAGCAACAGUAUUCUAGCCUUGGCAGGAACAAGAAAGUGGCAAUCAUCUUUGCAAGACUUCAUAUUAGAUACUGCUAGCUCAUCUAUUUUAACGGAGUGCACAUAUUUUACGGACGAUUGUAUUCGAAAACUUAACCAUUCCGAUGUUUAAUCCUGAUGAUCUUAUAGGACGCGUGAGUAAGGGUGCUCAGAGUCCAAAGGUGUUGAUGAGUCAGAGAAUAACCAC
rnacentral:lncRNA from 1 species